rnacentral:rRNA from 1 species
CCUCUGACGUUAGCGGCGGAUGGGUGAGUAACACGUGGGCAACCUGCCCUGCAGAUGGGGAUAACUCCGGGAAACCGGGGCUAAUACCGAAUAAUCAGUUGGUCCGCAUGGAUCAACUCUGAAAGACGGUUUCUGCUGUCACUGGAGGAUGGGCCCGCGGCGCAUUAACUAAUUGGUGGGAUAACGGCCUACCAAGGCGACGAUGCGUAACCGACCUGAAAGGGUGAUCGGCCACACUGGGACUGAGACACGGCCCAAACUCCUAAGGGAGGCAGCAGUAGGGAAUCUUCCACAAUGGACGGAAGUCUGAUGGAGCAAUGCCCCCUGAGUGAAAAAAGUUUUCGGAUCGUAAAACUCUGUUGUGAGGGAAGAACAAGUACAGGAGUAACUGGCUGGACCUUGACGGUACCUCAUUAAAAAGGCACGGGUAACUACGUGCCAACAGGCGCGGUAAUACCUAAGUGGCAAACGUUGUCCGGAAUUAUUGGGCGUAACAGGAUUAGAUACCCUGGUAGCCCACGCCGUAAACGAUGAGUGAUAAGUGUUAGGGGGUUUCCGCCCCUUAGUGCUGGAGCAAACGCAUUAAGCACUCCGCCUGGGGAGUACGGCCGCAAGGCUGAAACUCAAAGGAAUUGACGGGGACCCGCACAAGCGGUGGAGCAUGUGGUUUAAUUCGAAGCUACGCGAAGAACCUUACCAGGUCUUGACAUCCCGCUGCCCGGUCUAGAGAUAGAUCUUUCCCUUCGGGGACAGCGGUGACAGGUGGUGCAUGGUUGUCGUCAGCUCGUGUCGUGAGAUGUUGGGUUAAGUCCCGUAACGAGCGCAACCCUUGAUCUUAGUUGCCAGCAUUUAGUUGGGCACUCUAAGGUGACUGCCGGUGAUAAACCGGAGGAAGGUGGGGAUGACGUCAAAUCAUCAUGCCCCUUAUGACCUGGGCUACACACGUGCUACAAUGGACGGUACAGAGGGUUGCCAAACCGCGAGGUGGAGCCAAUCCCAUAAAACCGUUCCCAGUUCGGAUUGCAGGCUGCAACUCGCCUGCAUGAAGCCGGAAUCGCUAGUAAUCGUGG